rnacentral:rRNA from 1 species
GCCUAAUACAUGCAAGUCGAGCGAACCCCUUCGGGGGUGAGCGGCGAACGGGUGAGUAACACGUAGGUCAUCUACCCAUUAGACUGGGAUAACGUUUGGAAACGAACGCUAAUACCGGAUAGGAUGUAAAUUUAAAGGUGCUUUCGGGCAUCACUAAUGGAUGAGCCUGCGGCGCAUUAGCUAGUUGGUAAGGUAAUGGCUUACCAAGGCGACGAUGCGUAGCCGACCUGAGAGGGUGAACGGCCACACUGGGACUGAGACACGGCCCAGACUCCUACGGGAGGCAGCAGUAGGGAAUCUUCGGCAAUGGACGAAAGUCUGACCGAGCAACGCCGCGUGAAUGAAGAAGGUCUUCGGAUUGUAAAAUUCUGUUAUAAGGGAAGAAAGAUUAGCGUAGGAAAUGGCGCUAAAGUGACGGUACCUUAUGAGAAAGCCACGGCUAACUACGUGCCAGCAGCCGCGGUAAUACGUAGGUGGCAAGCGUUAUCCGGAAUUAUUGGGCGUAAAGAGCGCGCAGGUGGUUAAUUAAGUCUGAUGUGAAAGCCCACGGCUCAACCGUGGAGGGUCAUUGGAAACUGGUUAACUUGAGUGCAGAAGAGGGUAGUGGAAUUCCAUGUGUAGCGGUGAAAUGCGUAGAGAUAUGGAGGAACACCANUGGCGAAGGC